GAUGAACGCUAGCGGCAGGCCUAACACAUGCAAGUCGAGCGCCCCGCAAGGGGAGCGGCAGACGGGUGAGUAACGCGUGGGAACGUACCCUUUGCUACGGAAUAGCUCCGGGAAACUGGAAUUAAUACCGUAUGUGCCCUACGGGGGAAAGAUUUAUCGGCAAAGGAUCGGCCCGCGUUGGAUUAGCUAGUUGGUGGGGUAAUGGCCUACCAAGGCGACGAUCCAUAGCUGGUCUGAGAGGAUGAUCAGCCACAUUGGGACUGAGACACGGCCCAAACUCCUACGGGAGGCAGCAGUGGGGAAUAUUGGACAAUGGGCGCAAGCCUGAUCCAGCCAUGCCGCGUGAGUGAUGAAGGCCUUAGGGUUGUAAAGCUCUUUCACCGGAGAAGAUAAUGACGGUAUCCGGAGAAGAAGCCCCGGCUAACUUCGUGCCAGCCGCCGCGGUAAUAC
rnacentral:rRNA from 1 species